rnacentral:rRNA from 1 species
AUUGAACGCUGGCGGCAGGCCUAACACAUGCAAGUCGAGCGGAUGAAGGGAGCUUGCUCCUGGAUUCAGCGGCGGACGGGUGAGUAAUGCCUAGGAAUCUGCCUGGUAGUGGGGGAUAACGUCCGGAAACGGGCGCUAAUACCGCAUACGUCCUGAGGGAGAAAGUGGGGGAUCUUCGGACCUCACGCUAUCAGAUGAGCCUAGGUCGGAUUAGCUAGUUGGUGGGGUAAAGGCCUACCAAGGCGACGAUCCGUAACUGGUCUGAGAGGAUGAUCAGUCACACUGGAACUGAGACACGGUCCAGACUCCUACGGGAGGCAGCAGUGGGGAAUAUUGGACAAUGGGCGAAAGCCUGAUCCAGCCAUGCCGCGUGUGUGAAGAAGGUCUUCGGAUUGUUAAGCACUUUAAGUUGGGAGGAAGGGCAGUAAGUUAAUACCUUGCUGUUUUGACGUUACUAACAGAAUAAGCACCGGCUAACUACGUG